GACGAACGCUGGCGGCGUGCUUAACACAUGCAAGUCGAACGGUGAAGCGCCUUCCUUUUUGGUGGGUGUGUAUGAGUGGCGAACGGGUUAGUAACACGUGAGUAACCUGCCCCCUUCUUCUGGAUAACCGCAUGCAAGUGUGGCUAAUACGGGAUAUUCUGGGUCUGUCGCAUGAUGGGUCUGGGAAAGAUUUUGUUUCGGUGGGGGAUGGGCUCGCGGCCUAUCAGCUUGUUGGUGGGGUGGUGGCCUACCAAGGCGGUGACGGGUAGCCGGCCUGAGAGGGUGGACCGCACUAGAGGGAAGACGAGGCGGCGAAGACUACGAGGGGAGGCAGUAGGGGGGAAUACGCCACAAUGGGAGGCAGGAUGAAGCAACGCCGCGGGGGUGGGGAUGGAGGUCGGCGGGUUGAGAACUUCUUUCGGGAGAGAAGAAGGCUGUAAGCGUUUGUGGGUGGGUUGACGGUAGCUGGAUAGGAAGCGCCGGCUAACUACGUG
rnacentral:rRNA from 1 species